CGCAGGAGCCGACGGGCCGGCCGGGAUGGUGCAGCGGCGGCUCCGCGGCGCACGCACGCCGUGAGGGGGCCCGCGCUGGGCGCCGCGCCCCCCGCGCCCCCCGCCGCCCCGGCCGGCAUGAUGUGCCUGGAAUGCGCCUCGGCGGCGGCGGGCGGCGCGGAGGAGGAGGAGGCGGACGCGGAGCGGCGGCGCCGGCGCCGGGGGGCGCAGCGAGGGGCUGGAGGUGGCGGCUGCUGCGGGGCGCGGGGAGUGGGCGCCGCUGGAGUCGCGGCCGCCGACGAUGAGGUGCAGACGCUGUCGGGCAGCGUGAGGCGGGCUCCGUCCGGCCCCCCCGGCGCCCCCGGCACCCCCAGCUGCGCAGCCGCUGCCAAGGGCCCCGGCGCUCAGCAGCCCAAACCGGCCAGCUUGGGCCGCGGACGGGGGGCAGCUGCCGCCAUCCUCAGCUUGGGCAACGUGCUCAACUACUUGGACAGGUACACCGUGGCAGGCGUCCUUCUGGACAUCCAGCAGCACUUCGGGGUCAAGGACCGAGGUGCCGGCUUGCUGCAGUCAGUGUUCAUCUGCAGCUUCAUGGUGGCCGCCCCCAUCUUCGGCUACCUGGGUGACCGCUUCAACAGGAAAGUGAUCCUCAGCUGCGGCAUCUUCUUCUGGUCUGCAGUCACCUUCUCCAGCUCCUUCAUCCCCCAGCAGCACUUCUGGCUGUUGGUCCUGUCCCGGGGCCUGGUGGGCAUCGGAGAGGCCAGCUACUCCACCAUCGCGCCCACCAUCAUAGGCGACCUCUUCACCAAGAACACGCGCACGCUCAUGCUCUCGGUCUUCUACUUCGCUAUCCCGCUGGGCAGUGGCCUGGGCUACAUCACGGGCUCCAGCGUCAAGCAGGCGGCCGGAGACUGGCACUGGGCCCUGCGGGUGUCCCCCAUCGCGGGCAUGAUCACAGGCACGCUCAUCCUCAUUCUGGUUCCUGCCACCAAGAGGGGCCACGCCGACCAGCUCGGGGGACAGCUCAAGGUGCACACGUCGUGGCUCCGCGACAUGAAGGCCCUGAUCCGCAACCGCAGCUACGUCUUCUCCUCCCUGGCCACGUCGGCCGUGUCCUUCGCCACAGGGGCCCUGGGCAUGUGGAUCCCGUUGUACUUGCACCGCGCUCAGGUUGUGCAGAAGACAGCAGAGAUGUGCAGCAACCCGCCGUGUGGGGCCAAGGACAGCCUCAUCUUCGGGGCCAUCACCUGCUUUACCGGCUUUCUGGGUGUGGCCACGGGGGCAGGAGCCACGCGCUGGUGCCGCCUACGGACCCAGCGGGCCGACCCGCUGGUGUGUGCUGUGGGCAUGCUGGGCUCUGCCAUCUUCAUCUGCCUCAUUUUCGUGGCUGCCAAGAGUAGCAUCGUGGGGGCCUAUAUCUGCAUCUUUGUUGGGGAGACACUGCUCUUUUCUAACUGGGCCAUCACCGCGGACAUCCUCAUGUACGUAGUGAUCCCCACGAGACGAGCCACGGCCGUCGCCCUGCAGAGCUUCACCUCCCACCUGCUGGGGGACGCCGGGAGCCCCUACCUCAUCGGCUUUAUCUCGGACCUGAUCCGCCAGAGCACCAAGGACUCCCCGCUUUGGGAGUUCCUGAGCCUGGGCUACGCGCUCAUGCUCUGCCCCUUCGUGGUGGUCCUGGGCGGCAUGUUCUUCCUGGCCACGGCCCUCUUCUUCCUCGGCGACCGCGCCAAGGCUGAGCAGCAGUCCCUGCCCGGCACGUCCGGCCAGCCGGCCCCCGAGAUGCGAUGUGCCAGAGCAGUGCCCGGGCCCGGCCGCCGCUGAUCCGCCACCUUGACCCCCGCCCGUCUCUCCCCCAGGGUGAACCAGCUGGUGAUGCCGCCCGCAUCCAUCAAAGUCUGAGGCCGUGUCUCUGGGACAGCGAAGAGCCCUCACUGUCACCCUACUUGGGGGGCGUGCCACGGCACCCCGGCCCUGCUGGGCCACCUCAAAGCUUUCUGUGGGACCC